GGUCAAUAAUGUCUGCUGGAGCAGGUGCGAUGGGUCAAGCUAAAGUUUCCUGGAGCAGGUUGGGUUGACCAAAAUAUUUUUAUAUCCGGUCAUGCUUUCUGGGAGAAGCAGGUGGAAUUCAUUUGGGAGUUGGCAAGAAUGAGACGAAAAACAUACUGCACACUUCUAACACACACUUAUUGUUUGUUAGCGUUAUUGUUAUUCUGUAUACAGAUUAGAAAAUUCAGUACUGUUUUGUUAUUGUUAUGCAGCAGUAUUUUGUAGUGUAUCCUAGUGCACCACAUUAAAUCCGAAAGCUUUUACUUCAUUAUAAGUUAAAAAAUAUUAACAGCAGUGCACUAAACUAAUUUGCCUAUGUGUGGCGCUGUUUCUGGGUCUCUCUUAAAACACAUAAGGUAAGUUCACUUCAGCAAGCCGCCAGUGUGGAAAAUUAGGACAAGGCCAGGGACACACACACACACACACACACACACACGGGCGCACUGGGCGAGUCUCCCGCAGAGGCAGCGGCGCGGCGGCACAAUGCUGAGCCAGGUCAGCAAAUUCUUCACAUGAAGGCAAGACGUUUGAACUAGAAAAUCUUCCUCUGUCUUACAAGACAAAUGGCCAAAGCAUAUGAAUUUAACUGGAAGAGGCUGGUGCCUCACAUUAUGCAGGAAGGGGAAUAUUUCGAUAGAUUCGAUGAGGAUCCAUUUGUCUUUGAGCCUCACUGCUUUUUUAAAGUGGAUGCCUUUGCAUUCUUCAUCACAUGGAAAAGUGAAGGAAAGGAAGGUCAGGUUCUGGAGUUCUCUUUAAUCAACAGUAUACGGAACACAAAUGUACCUAAGGAUCCAAAGAUUCUUUCAGCAAUUGAGAGCACUGGGAAGUCUGAGAGUGACUUGGAUGGCAGGAUUAUCUGCAUAUGCAGUGGCACCGACUUGGUUAACCUCAGCUUCAUGUACAUAGUGGCACCUACCAUUAGCAUUGCAAAGCAAUGGACUGACAGCUUGCGGUUACUGAUUCACAACACCCGUGCAAGCAAUGUGUGUCCGAUGACCUGUCUCAAGAAACACUGGAUGAAGCUGUCAUCUUUGACCAACGUGAGCGGAAAAAUCCCAGUGAGAAGCAUAACAAGAACUUUUGCUUCUGGGAAAACUGAGAAGGUUAUAUUCCAGGUGCUAAAAGACCUUGGUCUGCCUAGUGGAAAGAACGAUGAAAUUGAGCCGGAUGUUUUCACCUUUGAUAAGUUUUACUCCCUCACUCAAAAGAUUUGCCCCAGAACUGACAUUGAAGCACUGUUCAAGAAUCUCUGUGGAGAUAAGAGUGAUUAUUUAAACAUAGACCAAUUAGUCAGCUUUUUGAAUGAAAACCAACGGGACCCUCGGCUUAACGAGAUCCUUUUUCCAUUUUACGACUCCAAACGUGCAAGGCAAAUCAUAGAAACCUACGAGACUGACGAGAAGCUUAGAAUGAAAGGAGUGAUGUCGUUUGAUGGAUUUUGUCGGUACCUGAUGUCUGAUGAAAAUGCUCCGGUGUUUCUUGAUCGACUGGAGCUCUAUCAGGAGAUGGACCACCCACUUUCACACUACUUCAUCAACUCCUCCCACAACACAUACCUGACUGGCAGGCAGUUUGGAGGAAAGUCUUCUGUGGAGAUAUACCGGCAGGUCCUGCUCUCCGGAUGCAGGUGUGUGGAGCUGGACUGCUGGGAUGGAAAGGGAGAAGACCAGGAGCCUAUUAUUACUCAUGGCAAGGCCAUGUGCACAGAUGUGCUUUUCAAGGAAGUUAUUCAGGCCAUCAAAGAAACUGCAUUUGUGACUUCCGAAUACCCCGUGAUUCUCUCGUUCGAGAACCACUGCUCGAGACAUCAGCAGUAUAAGUUGGCCCGAUACUGUGAGGACAUUUUUGGAGAAAUGCUCCUCAAGCAACCUUUAGAAGACUUCCCAAUGGCGUCCGGACAGGCUUUGCCUUCACCAAAUGAUCUUAAAGGAAAAAUCCUCAUUAAGAACAGAAGAUUAAAACCUGAAGUUGAAAAGAAGCAACUGGAACACUUCAGGAAGCAUAUGGAAGCUGGAGAGACGAACACUAUUAUGUCAGAGGAUGAGAAUGAGGAAGAUCCUGGCUCUGGAGAGCUCGUGGAUGAGGCUCACCCAGAACGGAUAUGUGGAAACCUCGUCAUUAGCCAGACGAAUAAUAGUGAAGGAAAUAUGCUUGGGGCAAGAAAGGCUGGUGAAACAAAUGUGGCUGAUGAGCAAGCUUUGAUCCAGUCUUACACAUACGUUGCAGCAACCACUAAUAUUCACCCAUACCUUUCUAAUAUUGUAAACUAUGCUCAGGCUGUGAAAUUCCAAGGUUUUGAGGAAGCUGAAGAGAAGAACAUCCACCACAACAUGUCUUCCUUCAGCGAGUCAGUGGGAUUGGGAUACUUGCGGACCAACGCCAUUGAAUUCGUGAACUACAACAAGCGCCAGAUGAGUCGGAUCUACCCUAAAGGAGGCAGAGUGGACUCUAGUAAUUAUAUGCCUCAGAUAUUCUGGAAUGCCGGCUGCCAGAUGGUAGCUCUGAACUUCCAGACCCCAGAUUUGGCAAUGCAGCUGAACCAAGGAAAGUUUGAGUACAAUGGGUCAUGUGGUUAUUUGCUGAAGCCAGAUUUCAUGCGUCGGCCAGACCGCACGUUUGACCCUUUCUCUGAGACCCCCGUGGAUGGAGUGAUUGCAGCUACUUGCAGUGUCCAGGUAAUUUCAGGCCAGUUUUUGUCUGACAAGAAGAUUGGCACCUAUGUGGAGGUGGAUAUGUAUGGCCUGCCUACAGAUACCAUUCGCAAGGAGUUUCGCACUAGGAUGGUGAUGAACAAUGGCCUAAACCCUGUAUACAAUGCGGAACCGUUUGUUUUUAGAAAGGUAAUCCUUCCGGACCUUGCAGUGCUCAGAAUAGCGGUGUAUGAUGACAACAAUAAGCUGAUUGGUCAGAGGAUUCUCCCCCUGGACGGUCUGCAGGCCGGCUACAGACACAUCUCCCUACGAAAUGAGGGCAACAAUCCCCUUACCUUACCCACCAUCUUCUGCAACAUCAUCCUCAAAACAUAUGUACCUGAUGGAUUUGGAGCCAUUGUGGAUGCACUGUCUGAUCCGAAAAAGUUUUUAUCCAUUUGUGAAAAGAGAACUGACCAAAUGAGAGCCAUGGGCAUUGAGACGUGGGAGAUAGCUGAGGUGCCAAAUGACAGCCCGAAGAGAACUAAAAGAGGAAAGACAAAUCAUCUAAAGGCUGUGUCACCUCAGAAAAGUUCUGAGCAACAAGAUGCAUCAUCAGGACCAAAUCCGAACGUUUCCUCAAGAAAUGUGUCUCCUAAACCUGUAAACAUGCCUCAAGUUACCAUUGAUGACCUGAAACAAAUGAAGGCAUAUUUAAAGCUAGUAAAAAAGCAGCUGAAGGAAGUUAAUGCAUUGACGAAAAAGCAUGCAGAGGCAUACACUGCAUUGCAGAGAUCACAUUGUACUCAGGUGGACAAGAUAGCGACACAACAUGAAAAGGAAAAGCGGGUGCUGGAAAAACAAUUAGAGAGAUGUAGCAAGAAAGUCAGCGAAUAUAACUGUGAAACCAGAGGUGAAAUGGAGAGAAGGAUAAAGAGCGUUACCACAGACUACAAAAUAAAGGUGAAGAAUAUGGGCGCUGCUCAAGCAGACGAAUUGACUGAGACGACGAAGACACAUAACGCUGAGAUCCAGGACCUCAGUGACCAGCAUGUGCUACAGCAGUGUGAACUACUCAGAAAGUUAAUGCUUAUAACACAGGAACAGCAGACACAACAGCUCACAUACCUCCAUGAGCGACAGAGUAAGGAGAUGAGAGCUAACCAAGCAAAGUCAUCAAUGGAGAACAGUAAAGCCAUCAGUCAAGACAAAAGCAUCAAAAACAAGGCUGAGAGAGAACGGAGGGUUCGAGAACUGAACAGCAACAAUACCAGAAAGUUUCUUAUAGAAAGAAAAAAAGCUUGCCUUGAACCAGUCCAAAGAGCUUGAUCAGCUCCAGACAGUCCAACGUGAACAGCUAGAGCAGCUGGAUAAAUACAAUGCUGAGCUCUUGAAGUCACACCUUUCAACAUCUCCGUGCCAUGGCCAAAAUGACACAGCACACGCACAUGAAGAACACAGAGGUGAACAAGGUCAAAGUCCCAGUGGUGCCAUAAACUCCCUAACCACAUGAGACAGCAGCAGCUCUGUGAACAAAUGCGCACACAAACAUCUGCAGAAGUGUAAAAAAAAUAAUUCUGCAUUCUGGUUUCACACAUAUAUGCAUGCUUGUUUUUUUAAUAGUUCAUUCUAAAGGGUGGUCUUUUUUCACAUAAAAUAUUUUGUGUAUAUAUCUUUUCAUAACAUCAUUUUAUAUAAAAAAAUAUUUUAUACAUUUAUAUUAUCUAAAUGUCGAAUAUUUAUGUUGUGUACCACUAUACUAGUACCCUUUUCUUUACUACCCCCUUGUUCUUUGUAUUUCUUGUAUUUAUAGGUGAUCUGCAAUGCUCUCAGGGUAAAUUAUCGGGGCAGCAAGAGAGGUUAUUUUACAGGAACCUCUCAUUUUAAUGCUGUUUAUAGUACAAUUAAAAUGUCUCUGGAAUAUGAAUAUUAACUCUAGAGAGUUGCUGAGUACAACAACGUAAAGAUUGUAAAAGAAAAUGGAAAUGCUUUAUUGACAGUACAGUGAUCUUCUCCAGCAUACUCCGAAUUAAAGAUGUACAGAAGAUUUCUAUAUAAAAAUGGUAUUCUCUUUUCUGCUUGUAUUUAAUAACACAAAUUUUCAUCCUACUCUCACACUAAUAUAUGCGCUUCAUUUAUUCUUUAAUAAUACAGACUUUUCUAUUAAAUUUUUUUUUAGCUUUUUAGACUCCUAUUUCCCCCGAUCUUACGUCUGGUGGGUUUCCAUUGUUAGACAUGUCAUUGUCAAUGUCUCAUCCUUUAAAUACAGUGAUUCAGCAUGCACAUCUGAAAAUAAGUGUUUCAAAAUGUGUGAAGGGGAGGGGGCACAGCAGAGAUUAUGAAUAUUUAUGAGACCACUUGCAGUCUUUAAGAGCCCUUGAGAAAAUGUCUUCAGGAAUACUAAGAUGUGUAGAAAGGCUAUAAGAUUUUUGAGGGUACAGUUACAAAGAAGUUGUGCCAUUUUAUGGCUAACUGAUUGGCCUGGUCAAAUUCAGUUGAAGUUUGUGGCUGAAAAGACCGACACUGUAGUGUAUCUUAGUCAGUAAAGUUUCUUCCAGGCUCGAGCAUCUCAUGAUCAUAGAUUUUGUUAGGACAGAAUGACAUUUACAACAACAGCCUCAAAGAGAAUUCAGGAGAUGAUCACACUUGAUAUUUGCUGUAGACUUCUAUCUACUGUAUUUUUAUUUUUAGAGUAACCACGUAACAGGCGGUUUAGAGUUGACAACAUACAAGCAUCCAAAAUGCACUUGCUUUGCAUAGUUUAGUCAUACUUUUGUUUAACUGAGUUCAAUACAGCACAAGUGUUUCCAAUCCUGAAAAGACCUGAAACUAGCCAAGAAAAAUGUGAGCAAUGGAAAAGGGAGACACAUUUUUCUUCUUAUUUUUCUCAGUCUUUGUAUGGGGAAACAAGGUCACUGUGGUGCACACACAUUUCUGAUGUAUGAUCAUUAUCCACUCUGUAACCCCUUUUUCCUCCCACUGUCUUUGCAAUGUAUCUUAAAAUAGAAACACUCCUGUAGGUCAUAGACACACUGUCAGCGUUUACACAGUGACCUUUUUUGGCAGUUUAUUAUAUUUAACUGUAUUUGCUAGACCUGUUAAACUCUAUUUGUUAAUACCUGUUUACAUUUGAAUUUGACAUCUCAAAUGAACCAGUGGACAUCCAAAGAGAUUUGAAUACUUUCUGUUACCACUUGUGAUCAGAUUUCAUGUAUGAUUUCUGCCUUAUAUUAUAUUUGUUUUUCAGUCUGUAAUGUUCUCUUAUGUGCCUGUACAGGCUCUUUCAAAUGAGUGACCCAGAGAAGAACCAGAGAUGAGACAACA